rnacentral:rRNA from 1 species
ACACCUACGGGGGGCAGCAGUGGGGAAUAUUGGACAAUGGGCGCAAGCCUGAUCCAGCCAUGCCGCGUGAGUGAUGAAGGCCCUAGGGUUGUAAAGCUCUUUCUCCGGUGAAGAUAAUGACUGUAACCGGAUAAGAAUCCCCGGCUAACUUCGUGCCAGCAGCCGCGGUAA